UACGUAGGGUGCGAGCGUUUGUCCGGAAUUAUUGGGCGUAAAGAGCUCGUAGGCGGUGUGUCGCGUCGGCCGUGAAAACCUGCAGCUUAACUGUGGGCUUGCGGUCGAUACGGGCAUCACUGGAGUUCGGCAGGGGAGACUGGAAUUCCUGGUGUAGCGGUGAAAUGCGCAGAUAUCAGGAGGAACACCGAUGGCGAAGGCAGGUCUCUGGGCCACUACUGACGUGAGAAGCGAAAGCAUGGGGAGCGAACAGG
rnacentral:rRNA from 1 species